rnacentral:lncRNA from 1 species
AGAAAAAAAAAUUAUCUGCAACCAGUUCCUCGGACCCACAGCGGCACGCCGACACAUCGAGUCCCUCGAGUCGGGUUCUUCUUCCUGCAGUUCCUUUCAUUAUAGACUUGCAGUCAUCUGCUCAUCUUCUUCCUGCAUCCAAGCUUGCUUUGUUUUCUGAUUUGCUCCAAACGGGAGAUUUGGGACACAGCAAGACAAGAAAGGUUUCAAAGUCUCAGGGGCAGCAUUUUAUGUGGAGCAGAUUGUUGUGUUCUUGUUUAUAAUGUGAAUGUUCUAAGAUCAUUUGAAACACUUCAGAACUGGCAUGAAGAGUUUCUCAUACAGGUAGGUCCAGCUGACACUGAGGCAUUUCCAUUUAUACUACUCGGCAACAAAAUUGAUAUAGAUGGCCGAAAUAGCAGAGCGGUAUGGACAUACAUAAAAUAUAUAGAGGCUGAGGCAUUUCAUCAUCGUUUUUAUGCCCCCCCCCC